GCGGUAAUUCAAGCUCCAAUAGCGUAUAUGUAAAUUGUUGCGGUUGAAAAGCUCGUAGUUGGACUUCUGGCGUCCGCGUUCGGUCCGCCAAGCGCGAGCACUGUCUGCGGGCGUCGUUUCAGUCGACGUGGCGCGUCGGACUUCAUUGGCCGGUGCGUCGUCUGUCGGCGAUGUUACUUUGAGGAAAUCAGAGUGCUCAAAGCAAGCGUUCGCUCGUGACUUCACUAGCAUGGAAUAACACAGAUGGGCUCUUUCUCGCACUGUUGGUCUGCGUCAAUUGAGCAACGAUCGAUAGAGACGGUCGGGGGCAUUCGUAUUGCGCAGUUAGAGGUGAAAUUCUCCGAUCUGCGCAAGACGCACUAAUGCGAAAGCAGUUGCCAAGGACGUCCUCUUAUGAUCAAGAGCGAAAGUCGGGGGAUCAAAGAUGAUUAGAUACCGUCGUAGUCCCGACCAUAAAUGAUGCCGACUGAGCUUCGGCGACUCGACCUCAGGUCGUACGUCGGCGCUCUUAGAGAAAUUAAAGUCUUUGGGCUCCGGGGGUAGUAUGGUCGCAAGUCUGAAACUUGAAGGAAUUGACGGAAGGGCACCACAAGGCGUGGAUGUUGCGGCUUAAUUUGACUCAACACGGGGAAGCUUACUAGGUUUGGACACCUUUGUGAUGGACAGAUUGAAGCUCUUACCCUACUGCGUGGAUGGUGGUGCAUGGUCGUUCUCAGCCCGUGGGUUGACCUGUCAGGUUUACUCCGGUAACGCGCGAGACCUCGGUCUGCUAAAUAGACGCGGCUGUUUCGGCACCCGCGCUCUUCUUAGAGAGAGACUCGACGAGAGUCGAGGGAAGUCGAGGCAAUAACAGAUCUGUGAUGCCCUUAGUUAUCCUAGGUCGCACGCGCCAUACAAUGUGGCGCACAACGAGUCUCCUUGGCCGACAGGAUCUGGGCAAUCUGGCAGAGCGCUACGUGACUGGGCUAGACUUUUGUAAUUUUUGGUCUUGAACGAGGAAUGCCUAGUAAUCGCAGGUCAGCAUCCUGCGAUGAUUCGGUCCCUGCCCUUUGUACACACCGCCCGUCGCUCCAUCCGUGGCAUGCGCCGGUUAAGAGGGGGAGGCAGCGUCGGCCGUGUAACAGCGGAUCGUACGUGGAACCCCUCUGAACCUUCGCAAGUAGAGGAAGGAGAAGUCGUAACAAGGUUUUCGUAGGUGAACCUGCGAAAGGAUCAUUAUCGGCACA
rnacentral:rRNA from 1 species